rnacentral:rRNA from 1 species
UACGGGGGGGGGCAAGCGUUGUUCGGAAUUACUGGGCGUAAAGGGCUCGUAGGCGGCCAAUUAAGUCCGACGUGAAAUCCCCAGGCUUAACCUGGGAACUGCGUCGGAUACUGGAUGGCUUGAAUUCGGGAGAGGAAUGCAGAAUUCCAGGUGUAGCGGUGAAAUGCGUAGAUAUCUGGAGGAAUACCGGUGGCGAAGGCGGCAUCCUGGACCGACAUUGACGCUGAUGAGCGAAAGCUAGGGGAGCAAACGGG